CAUAAAAGCUCAGCUCUAAGUUUGCUUGGACUGACCAGCACUGCUUACUCUCAAAAUGAGGUGCCCUGUUCAGCUCCUGGGGCUGCUCUUGCUCUGGGUAUCAGGAUCCAGUGGAGAUGUUAUAUUGACUCAGACUCCACUCUCUCUGUCUGUCACCCUGGGAGAGGCAGUCUCCAUCUCCUGUAGGUCCAGUCAGAGGCUCUUAUAUAGUGAUGGAGACACCUAUUUGUACUGGUUCCUACAGAAGCCAGGCCAGUCUCCACAAGCCCUAAUCUAUUUGCUUUCCAACCAAUAUUCUGGGGUCCCACACAGAUUCAGGGGCAGUGGGUCAGGCACAGAUUUCACAUUGAAAAUCAGCAGGGUGGAGGCUGAGGAUGUUGGCGUUUAUUACGGCUUUCAACAUACACAUGUUCCUCCCACAUUCAAGUUUGGGUAG